rnacentral:rRNA from 1 species
CCCUGCCAUUUGUACACACCGCCCGUCGCUCCUACCGAUCGAGUGUUUAGAUGAAUUUGACGGACUCGCGGAAGUUAAAUAAAUCUGAUCACUUAGAGGAAGGAGAAGUCGUAACAAGGUUUCCGUAG